rnacentral:snoRNA from 1 species
UCUCAUAUAAACAACGGUGCUAUAAUGAAUGCCUAAAGCACUAUUGCUUCUUUGUUUUUCAAUGGAAAACAAAUGAAGUUUGUGAUUAGGCAGCGGCCAGACAACCGUAGGGAUGGUAUCCACAGAUGUCGGGUUUUGCAAUCAUCCUUUUAUCUACUGAUUCCAUCUCACAAUU